UACGUAGGGGGCGAGCGUUGUCCGGAAUCAUUGGGCGUAAAGCGCGUGUAGGCGGUUCGGUAAGUCCGCUGUGAAAGUCGGGGGCUCAACCCUCGAAAGCCGGUGGAUACUGUCGGGCUUGAGUACGGAAGAGGCGAGUGGAAUUCCUGGUGUAGCGGUGAAAUGCGCAGAUAUCAGGAGGAACACCAAUGGCGAAGGCAGCUCGCUGGGACGGUACUGACGCUGAGACGCGAAAGCGUGGGGAGCAAACAGG
rnacentral:rRNA from 1 species